GUGCUUAACACAUGCAAGUCGAGUGCGCGGUGCCGUAGCAAUACGGUACUGGCGCACGGCGCACGGGUGCGUAACACGUGGGUAAUCUGCCCUCUGAUGGGGAAUAACCCGCCGAAAGGCGGGCUAAUUCCGCAUAACAUUCCCUGGACUCCGGUUCGGGGAUUCAAAGGCGUAAGUCGUCGGAGGUGGAGCCCGCGCCCGAUUAGCUAGUUGGUGAGGUAACGGCUCACCAAGGCAAUGAUCGGUAGCUGGUCUGAGAGGAUGGCCAGCCACACUGGAACUGAGACACGGUCCAG
rnacentral:rRNA from 1 species